rnacentral:lncRNA from 1 species
AUUUAGGGUUUAGGGUUUACAGUUGAGGAGUGGGGUUUUGGGGAUAGGAUUUCAAAUUUUAAAAAAUAAAAAAGAAAUUAAAAAUUUAAAAUAAAAAAUAAAAAAUGUAAUUUUAGUCAUUUUAGUUUUUGAUGUCUAUUUUUGUGACAUAAACCUCUAUCUAAGAGAAUUACCCCGAACUAAAUCUAACCCAAUUAUUCAGUAUCUUAUACAAUAAAUGAGGCUUUUUUCUCUCCAUAGGGCAUAGGGCGUUUGAUGACACAUGG